GUGGGGAAUAUUGGACAAUGGGCGAAAGCCUGAUCCAGCCAUGCCGCGUGUGUGAAGAAGGUCUUCGGAUUGUAAAGCACUUUAAGUUGGGAGGAAGGGUAGUAACCUAAUACGUUGCUACUUUGACGUUACCGACAGAAUAAGCACCGGCUAACUUCGUGCCAGCAGCCGCGGUAAUACGAAGGGUGCAAGCGUUAAUCGGAAUUACUGGGCGUAAAGCGCGCGUAGGUGGUUCAGUAAGUUGGAAGUGAAAUCCCCGGGCUCAACCUGGGAACUGCUUUCAAAACUGCUGAGCUAGAGUACGGUAGAGGGUGGUGGAAUUUCCUGUGUAGCGGUGAAAUGUGUAGAUAUAGGAAGGAACACCAGUGGCGAAGGCGACCACCUGGACUGAUACUGACACUGAGGUGCGAAAGCGUGGGGAGCAAACAGGAUUAGAAACCCGAGUAGUCC
rnacentral:rRNA from 1 species